rnacentral:tRNA from 1 species
GCCGCGAUGGUGGAAUUGGUAGACACGCAAGACUCAAAAUUUUGUGUCCAUUACGGACGUGCGAGUUCGAUUCUCGCUCGCGGUACCA